UACGAAGGGAGCUAGCGUUGUUCGGAAUCACUGGGCGUAAAGCGCACGUAGGCGGAUUUGCCAGUCAGGGGUGAAAUCCCGGGGCUCAACCUCGGAACUGCCUUUGAUACUGCAAAUCUCGAGUCCGGAAGAGGUGAGUGGAAUUCCUAGUGUAGAGGUGAAAUUCGUAGAUAUUAGGAAGAACACCAGUGGCGAAGGCGGCUCACUGGUCCGGUACUGACGCUGAGGUGCGAAAGCGUGGGGAGCAAACAGG
rnacentral:rRNA from 1 species